UCCGCCGUCGCGGGCUAAGAAAAGGGAAGUCUUGUCGCGUGCUUGUUCUUUUUUGCAUCCCGCGCGCUCUCUCGCCGUCUCUCGAAAUCGCCAAGCAUCCUGCAACUUCCCCAGCUGUCUGCCCUGUCUCCGCCGCUUCCCGGCGCCAGGGCGUCGGGGCCUCGCUGUUGAACGCCUCCCCUGCAGACAUGAAAGCUCUCUCCUGGAUGUUUCUUGCUGGUUCUGCAGCAGCCAGCGCCCUCUUCUCUCUGGAUUCCCUCCGGGGCAUUCAGUGUCCAGGGGGAGGAUGUCCCCGGGUUGCCCAGAUGCUGCUAGAGAAACACAGCGCACUCAACACCCUUUUGAACAGAGCCCUUAGUAACAGUUGGCACAAGAGAUAACACUGGUUUAGAUUAAGAUCUCCUGCCCCUUUCCUAGAGAUGGGGCCUUGACAGAUUGCCCAGAUUGGCCUCAGAACUUUGAGUCCUCCUGCCAGCAUCUCCAAAGUCACUGGGAUUACAGGGAACCCAUUCUUCCCCAGCAGUGGGUAGGCCUCCCCAUGUGUGCCGUGUUUCUGCUCAGAGAAGCCCAAUAGAGACUUGAGCCCAGGGCUUGUACUGAGGUCUGGUCAUGUGAACACCGUCUGCCUGGCAUGCAGUAAAAGUCCAGGCUCCCAGGAGGAAAGUAAGUGGUGGGUCUAAACCACACUGUUUGCAGUCUGGGCUUGGUGAGCCACCCUGAUCAGUUCACUGCUGAGAUGGGAACAUGCCGAGACCCAGGUUCCCAGAUGCCAGCCAGGGGCUGGUCUGACCUAUUUUUGAACCUCAGUUUCCUGGUAUAGAAAACAAAGAUGUAAUAAAUAGGUCUUUGGACAUGUCCAUGUGAGCCUGAUCUCUGGCCCGUAGGUUUUUCCAGUGUUUUUUGUUGCAAGUAUCUCCUCUGUUUCACCUUGGCAGUUUUAUGGGGUUUUGUAUGCUAGAUGGCAGCUGCAGGAUUUCUGUGCUCUUUGUUUUGGACUAGGCCCCUGGCAUUAGUUUCCUGUCCUUGGCCCUUCCUUGAUCUUUCUUUGGUCCUGCAUUCGAAAGUGUUCAUGGGCUGCUUGUGCCCUGGUCAUUGAUAGUGCAGGGAGAAGAAUGGCUGGAAGACAUUUUCCCCGUGUUUGGAGGGUCCACCCAUCCCUUCCAAACCCUGUAGUUUUCCCACACUCCAGUUUAUCUUUUGCCAACCCUUAUAGUUGUUUCUUGGUGCCUCAUGAUAUCUGGCUGGGGAUGUCAUGUGUGGAUUAUGUGGAAGGGUUGCCCAGAACAGAAUCCAGUGUUGUGAGGUGGCGAGUGCAGGGUUGUGUGUGCCUAAGUUAGGGCUUUAUUACAUGUUGUCCUUUAAUAGAGAUUCCUAAGUGUGUACUAAUAAGAGGAAGGAAAGGGUGAGUGCUCAUAGUGGUAGGGUGUCCAGCUCAGUACACCACCUCACUUCCCAGUCUGCAUGGCUCCUCUAGGUUUUGCCUCCUCCGUGUCCCUAUGAAGUAUACAUUGGCAUGACUCACUGGCCACUGUUCUGUGCUUAUCAUUCCUCUGCCAUUUGUCCUGGCCUUUGAGUCUCAUCUUAGAAUGCCUGGUUCUCGGGCUGACCCUGGAGGAAUGGAUGAAAUUGUAAGAUAAAGAAUGAGCUGGGCUCAGUGGUGCAUGCCUGUAAUCCCAAUGGCCGGGGAGGCUAAGACAGGAGAAUCCCAAGUUCAAAGCCAGCCUUAGCAAUGGUGAGGUGCUAAGCAACUCAAUGAUACUCUAUCUCUAAAUAAAAUACAAAAUGGGGCUAGGGAUUUGGCUCAGUAGCAGUUCAGGCCCCAGUGCCCAUCCCUCCAAAAAAAGAAUGAAGAAAAGUAUAAAAAUUUAAAAAAAAAUGAGCUGAGUGUGGUAGUGCAUGCCUGUAAUCCCAGUGACUUGAGAGACUAAAGAAGGAGGAUCACAAGUCGAGGCUAGCCUCAGCAACUUAGUGUGAAACUGUCUCAGAAUCAAAAAGGGCUGGGGGUGUCAUGCUCAAUAGUGGAGCGCUUGCCCAGCAUGCCUAGCAUGAGGCCAGAGAAGGGAAAAAAUGAAGAAAGAAGUGGAGAGCGAAGAGAAAUCUGUUUGUCACCUUUUAGCCCCUUCCAUCCCCACUGAGAUUUAUUUUUAUUUUGAAAUGAGGGUCUUGCUGAAUUGUUGAAGCUGAUCUCAAUCGGAUCCUCCUGCCUUAGUUCCCAAGUUGCUGGAAUUACAGGCUUGCACUAACCACCUGAUGAGAGAUGGGUUUUUUAAUUCGUGGUGAACGUCUUGGGUGAUUGAUAAAUGAUGUAUGUGGCUUCUUGUCCCUGCAGGAUUGUCAGCUGUCCUCUGUGCCUAGCAGCCCCCUGUCAUUAAGAGGAGGCUGAAAAAGAAAAAAAGGGGAGGCUGGGCUAUGAUGCUCCUGAGGUAUGGAUCCUGGGUGCUUCUCCAGAGAGAACAGUGAUGUUCAGCUUCAAGACCAAGGCAAAGGCUGCUUCCUUUUGUUUGCUCCCUCACUGUGGCCUGCAGGGACAUGCUCCCCAAACUCUCCUCUCCCAUUCUGAGAAGCAGAAGAAGCUUUUGUUAAACACAGUAGGUAUUAUAGAGCUCCCCUUGGUUUCCAGGAGCUCUGCAAGGACCUAUGUAGCCCUCAUCCUUGCUUGGUUCUGCAGUAGCUUGUUAAAAUGCUUUGGGAAGUCAGAAAGUUAGCUGGUGUUUUUUUCUGAACCUUGGUGGGAUACUUUUUAUGACUCAGUUCCAGACCUCCAGACCUAAUGAACUCCACAUUACUCCCAAACUUGGACUUCCAUCUUAGGCCAAAGCUUAUGAAGCCCCAUGUUAGAGUACCUUUGAGAACCAGGGGCAGCUGGUGCAGUUACAACCAGUAAACUUAGUUACUGUGUCCCUUUUCUGAGUCACUAUGUCUCUCAUCCUGGCCAGGGCCCUUUCCUCAGCUGCUGGCCCUGGCCUGUCUUUUUUUGCCCCUGUAUUCGAAAGUGAUCAUGGGCUACCCGUGCCCUGGUCAUUGAUAGUGCAGGGAGAGGAAUUGCUGAAAGCGAUUCCCCGUGUUUGGAGGGUCUGCUUUUGUCCCUUUCAAACUCUGGAGCUUUUGUACAUAUAUUGUCUCUCACUCUCUUUCUUACCUCCUGAUACCUGGUGCUGAGGCCACUGCAGUGCACCUUCUAGCAUGGUGUGGGCACUGGGGCCUUAUAGAAAGGGAAUCAAGGCAGGGCUCUGCCCCAGGGGACUUUGUUCAUAGGCUGAUUUUGCAAUCACAGUAGAGGUCAUUUCUCCUAUAUUUGCCCCAUGCUUCUUGUCCUCAGCCCCAGCUCUGGUCACUGGUCACUGUGGUCUUGCUCAUCAUACCCUUCUCAUGUACUGGGAAUUGAACCUAGGGGCAAUUAAUCACUGAGACAUAUCCCCAGCUUUUUUUUUUUUUUUUAAUUCUGAGAUAGGGCCUCACUGAGUUGCUGAGGCUGGUUUUGAACUCAAGAUUCUCCUUCCUCAGCCUCUUGAGUCGCUACUGGUGUUGGCCACCAUGCUUGUUUUCUGUAAGCUUCUUCAGGGCAGUGGCUCUAUGUCUCUAUAUGUCUUGUCACAAUCUGCUUUGGGCCUGGAACUCUUGUCACUUUUGGACAAAAAGGAGGCAAGUUCCUAUAAGGAUAGAGUUCUUUCCAUUGAGCAGUCACAGGAAAAUGCCCUUGGAUAAAGCAGCCUGCCUGAGGUUGAGGCAUUUGUCUCAUUUUCUUCUCCCAUUUGAGGAAUUUCUUUGGUGACGAAACUUACCUUAUUUUAGUCUACCCAUAGACCUUGCCCUAAAGAGGGCCCAUGGUCAGUCCAUCAGGUAUGGAUUUUCCCACUGGUCUUCAAUUAAGGGGGCAGGGACUACAGUAGUAAUCAAGGAUGGCAAAACACAAUAUGGACAGAUAGGUGAACUCAACCCUUACACACCAGACGGUAGACACAGGCCCCCGUCACCUCUCUCCUUCCCCUGAUCUGUUCCAAUCACUGAGGUCUGUAACAUGUUAUAAAAUAAUAAAGUGGUUAUCCUCGUAAAGCAGAUUAACAUCUGUCACACAGGACUUUUUUCCCUACUGGGGAUUGAACCCAGAGGUGCUUAAGCACUGAGCCAUAUCCUAGCCACUGUGCCUGUCUGGGCUGGGAUUAUCUUUUUUUUAAGGUAUGUGUAUUGCAAGAGCAAUUAAAAUCUUAGAAAAUGAAUUUAACAAAACCUCUUAACAUGGUAUGAUAGUCCUCAUACUAACUCAGUCUACAUAUCUAAAUCAUUUGAUUUAUACUGGCCCAUUUCCCACUACCACCUGCUUUUUAGUCCACAUAUAAGUGAGAGCUUUUGGCUUAUCUCACAUAGCAUAAUGUCCUCUAAGUCCAUCUGUGUAACAAAUGGCAGGAUCUCCCUUUUUUUAAGGCUGAAUAAUAUUCUGUUCCCUUACUCUGUCUCAGUGUGUAGACAUAUAUAUCAUUUUCUUGAUCUCUUUGGGUUCAUGUUUCUGUGUCUUGGACAUGGGGAAGGGUGCUGUGGUGAAUAUGGGCAUUCCUCUGUCUUUAUGAAGCGAUUCAUCUUCAGGUGUGCGCCCAGAGGGGGAUAAGCAACAAAUUGACAGUUGGUGCACAAAUACAUGGAUAUUACUCCUGUCAAGACACUGUAAAAACUGAGCUUCCAAGGUAUUUUUGUUUUUUAACUCUUUAUAAAACAAGAACCUGCUGAUUGGGUGGUGUCAGUUUGGACAGGAGAAGAUGGUGCCAAACUUACUACUUUUCUGCUUCCUCAACUGUCUAGGUCUCAUACCUGUGGAAGCAGAGACUAUUGAAGGACAUUCCCAGGCCAGGGAGUCCGUGGCCCUUGGGAUGAUUGGGAUCUGGGUGUGCUGAUGCUUCUCAUUGUGGUUAAGUUAAUGCCAGGGGCCCUGGAAGCCAUUAUCAGAAGCUGAGGGCAAAUGAAACCCCAGACCACUAUCUCACAGCCUUUUCUUUUAGAUCUUGGUGGGUGCUGUUCAUGGACACCAGAGGGGCAGAGAAUUGAGAGUGAUGUCAUCCCAUGAAGCUUCACUGCCAGCUGCACCCUACUGUAUGCUGAGAUCAUUCAGAAACCAGGGCCAUGGACAGGAAAGCCCAGCUCCAUCUGUCUGCCUGUACCUGCAGUCAUGGUCUCUUAAGUUGAACAGGCUGGCCUUGAGUUUGCCAUCCUCUUGCCUCAGCCUCCUGAGUCACUGGGGAUUACAGGCAUGUGCUGUGGUGGCUGGCUCUGGACUUUUCCUUGGUCUUCGUGUUUCUUCCUGUCCCCCCAUCCCCCAUUCAAUAAAAAUUUCCUUUUUUUUUUUUAAUGUU